ACGUGUGGUAAAACAAGGCAACUCGCUGUUUCUUUGUCGCUAUGGUCUGACUUAUGACAAUCAAUACACACCAGCCUAACUUCAAUAGCAGGUUCUCUCAUUUUUGCCAAUUUCAGUAGCAGCUAUUCACAGGAAGCCGAAUUCAUUUCCCCGCUGGCACAAGAUGAAAGAACUGAUACACCAUGAAUAUAUCAGAGAAUUCACACAAGUACAUACAGAAGCACAGACCAGACAACAAAGUGACCGCAUUUCCCUGGAGCUCGGUGAUUAGCCAUGCUGCGUAAAGAACUCUCCCUUACCUUGCGUCACAUGUGAGAUCCCAGGUGGAGAACUCAUGGUCACUAAGGUUAGCGACAGCUGCAGAAGCUUUUGGCCAGAAGCCGAGACGUUUGAUGGCGACCGGCUCGUGACCAGCCUCCAGUGAGGGCGAAUGGCUGCAGCAGGUACCCAUUCUUCACACAGAAGGAAAUCAAAAAAAGCUAUAAAAUGUCCAGAUGUUUGGUCUUUAACCACCUUCGUUGCAUUUGCACAUCUUCCACUUCCUAAAGAUGUAAUACUUCCACAUUCAAGCAAGUCAGGAGAUCUUAUAAGAAGUGCUUCCUUUACAUUUCAUCAGUUGUUUUGUCGACUUCUCUCCAGUCAGAGUGGCUGAUUUUGGAGUUGCCUGGCCCUGACAGCCUUUACCCUCCUCCUUACUCUGACAGAAGUCUUUCUGUCUCCCACCACCCUGCAGUCCACAACAUUGUAUAAACCAUCUUGUUGUUUGUCUCAGUUGCUGUUUGUAUUUGAGUCCUUCAAUCCCUCCUUUGUGAGCGCCCUUUCAGAACCAAGUGUGGAACACAGACGGAGGCCGCACAAUUUCCAAUCCCAAGCUUCAGAUACAGAUGAUCCAACAUCAGUCAUGUUGGCCUGAGAAAGACCGGUCAAACCUACGUCGUAACUGUGAGUGGGCUUGCUAUGUAGAAAAAUUCAACAAGUGUUCUCCAUAUUUCUCAUUCCACGCUCCAAAUUAUAAUUCCAUGUCCUAAAGAAACACCUUAGGUUAAUCUCAAAACCAUUGUAGAUUGAACUUAAAAGGACUUCCUCUACACUUUUGAACGCACAUGUCCAACUGUUCAGUGUUUUGUUACUUUUUUCACAACUUGCUGUUCUCUUACAAGGAGCAAAAUUCACAACAGGUGUUUGAUUCGAGUAUUGAAAUGGUGUUUUAAACCGUCCUAAUGAUACUGUUCACACCAAACUAUUCAAGACAACACCAAACAGCUGACCAUAUGUUUGUUUUCAUUGCGAGGUCUCAAACAGUCUGUCUUCAGGUGGAUGUCGUUGCCGAGCUUAAGAGUGUCAGAAGGUUGCAAUAUAGAUAUUUUCUAAAAAGUGGGAAUGAUGUUGAUGGAAAGCAUCGUUUUAAUUUCCCUGUCUACCAAAGAACACAAUGUACCCAUGUUUCCAAAUCAAUAAUUCUGUUGACAUUUCAAUAGAUGCGUGGGAAACCUCUCUGUGUAUUGUUUGUGGGGAGCAGCAUUUAUUUAAAGUACAAUUUGUAACAGAAAGUUGACUUUUACAAAAAUGUAAAGAGGUCUGCUCUAUUUUUUUUCCACUCAGUUGGAUUUUAUAAUUCACUUGGUACAGCCGCAUAAUGAUUAUUGGUUAUGUGGAAACAAAAGGCAAACACUUAACUAUGUUCCAAAAAAACUAGAAAAUAUGUUGAUGAUUAUUGUGGUGGGCGAUGUGAACUUAAAAUGUUGUCAUAUUUUGUGGUAUUUACUGUAUCAACUAUAAAAGUGAUAAUAAAAAAAUAGGGAAUUAUGUGGAAAGAAUACAAACUUUUUGAAAUGGGUUUCUAUACAAACAUCUGUGAUGUUUAAAAGUAUGAUUCUUGACUCUAAACCACACACAAUUACUGCAUUUAGCCAUAUUUUUGUAUUUAUUGAUAUUUGUUGAGGCUCAUAUGGAUCCAAAAGAGGUGAAUAUUUCUAUUUUGAAAAGAAAUUUUCACAAUGACAAUGAAAAAUAUUGAAUCCCCAAUCAGAUUGUAAUUUAUUAGGUGCUAUUUUCUAAUAGAGGAAAUUAUUAAAUGUUUAGAAUUUUUCAAAAUACACUAAAACUAGAUUUUUAAAUACUGUAAGUACACAUUAUUAUCUUAAAUUAUGGAGCAGUAAACUGAAAUCGUUUGACAUUCAGCACACCACCUCAUUAGUUCUGAUGUUAAAGGAAAUCAACCGUUCAGACAAAAGUUUUCCUUGCUUUUUCAACUUCCAGUCCUUUAUAUUCCUAAAAAUAUCUGCCUGAUGAAUCCGUGAUGUACUUAGUUUUUUCUGUUAGAAUCUGUGAAUUAAUACUAAAGCCUCACGGCGA